GGGGAUGUAGCUCAAUGGUAGAGCAUUCGCCUUAUACGCGAGCGGCUGGAGGUUCGAAUCCUCCCAUCCCCA
rnacentral:tRNA from 5 species